rnacentral:lncRNA from 1 species
AACUUGCAUACUCACUGCCUUUAACAAAACCAAUUUAUUUCCAAUAAAACUUGUCCAACCACAACGUCAGCUAAGAGAGAGGGAGGGAGAGAGCGGACCUUUUUCGGAUUAAAUGCAAACGGCUUCCAGAUCUAUUGCACUUCUUUGCUUUCACCAGGUCAUGAAGCUACAUAGAUAAUCUGUAACGGAUUGAUGGAGAAGGCAAUGGCUUGGGCCAUCUAUAACCAUACCCACUUCAUAAUUAAAAAUUUUAUAUCCAUAUCCACUGUCUCCAUCUCGGA